rnacentral:rRNA from 1 species
UACAGAGGGGGCCAGCGUUAUUCGGAAUUAUUGGGCGUAAAGGGCGCGUAGGCGACUUUGCGUGUCUUUCGUGAAAUCCCUCGGCUCAACUGAGGACGUGCGGAAGAAACUGCAGGGCUGGAGUCCGGGAGAGGAGGGUGGAAUUCCCAGUGUAGCGGUGAAAUGCGUAGAUAUUGGGAGGAACACCGGUGGCGAAGGCGGCCCUCUGGACCGGUACUGACGCUGAUGCGCGAAAGCGUGGGGAGCAAACGGG